rnacentral:rRNA from 1 species
AUACGGAGGGUGCAAGCGUUAAUCGGAAUUACUGGGCGUAAAGAGUACGUAGGUGGUUCGUUAAGUCAGAUGUGAAAGCCCAGGGCUCAACCUUGGAACUGCAUUUGAUACUGGCGAACUAGAGUAUGGUAGAGGGGGGUAGAAUUCAUAGUGUAGCGGUGAAAUGCGUAGAUAUUAUGAGGAAUACCAGUGGCGAAGGCGGCCCCCUGGACCAAUACUGACACUGAGGUACGAAAGCGUGGGUAGCGAACAGGAUUAGAAACCCCAGUAGUCC